rnacentral:tRNA from 2 species
GGGGCCAUAGCUCAGUUGGGAGAGCGCUACAAUGGCAUUGUAGAGGUCAGGGGUUCGAUUCCCCUUGGCUCCA